CGAGACCCCCUCUCCAUCCUUUUCCAGGUCCGGUGGGGGCGGGAUUUUAAGGUAAAAACAGCAAUUACUUUUGCACCAACUUAUCUUCUAAGUUUCGCUCCCUACCACCUGAGUGUGUUUGGAGGCUCUGGCUCAUUGUACCUGCCUGAUCACCACGUGCAAGUAGCUGGGCCAGAAGGACCUCGGCACGUUACGGAAUAUUUACUACAGGAACAGCAUGCAAGACAACAUGCUAGACACACGAAAGAUGGAAUAAAUGGAAGAAAAUGCAACACAGAUCUCAUGCUUAAGAGGGACAGAUUUACUCUGAAGAUUCAAUGAAAAAACAUCCACAAACAACUUUUC
rnacentral:lncRNA from 1 species